UAUAUUUAAGUGUAAUGAUGCACAAGGAAUUUUGAUUUCCUUAGUUAUGGUUUAAUUCCAUAAGGUAUAA
rnacentral:tRNA from 1 species